AAACAUCAGUCUUUCUCUCUUUGCUUCAAGGAGAUAAGAAAAUCUAAGAAAAAAAUUGAAGAAUCAGCAGCAAUUAUGUCAAGCAUGCAUUUCGGAAGAGAUGUACCGUGAAUCCUUAAUCUUUUUGAAAGAAUUGAUCACCUGGAAGUUGAUUAUUAAGGAUGUUUGAUGAAGAGUCUGGAAGUUAUGACUUGAUACAGAGAGGGGCAAAGUUUGAUUUGGUUUAAACCUGGAUUAGCCAUGAAUUAGGAAAGUGUAUUGGUGAUCUUGUGUAUUUGAAAACUGGUACUCUUUGCCUACGGUGAUUUUGCAAUAUCCAUACGGUGAGUUUUGGUGUACGUUCUAGUGUACUGAAGAUUGAUUGUUUUUGAAUUUUGGUUGAGGAUGAGUGAUUUUUUUGUACAUGGUUAUCAAAUGAAUACGCAACCUUCAGAAGCUGAAGCAGGUUUUGAUAUUCGGAUUCCACCUACAGUAGACCCAUAACUGUUGAUGAAGAGGUGAUGAAGGACAGACAUAUUUUUGGAGUUUCACAUCUAAGGAACAGAAGAGUCUUGUCUCAAGGAAUCGCAAAUGGGCUUAUUUCUCUUCGCAAAGGAAAAAUUCCAUGUUCGUGAGAUUCUCUGAGCAGAUGGUCUUCUUCUUGUUCGUUGAGCAAGCUGCCAAUUUUAAUUUUCCCUUUCUGAACCUUCUAGCCAGUUAGCUUGUCUUCUGAAAUUUAUCUGCUAUUUUUUGUUAUAAAUACCAAGCAAUCGUCAUGCUUCAUCCUUCACUAGUAUGUUAAGUUGUAAGUGAGAGUUGUAGGAUACUUUACAUGUUAAGUACCUUUUAUGUAUGUGUGCUUUAACUGUAGUCCAGUUUUCUCUAACAUCUCGCCUCCAACCUUCACUUUUUUGGAUCUUGAACUUGAAGAACAACGAU